UGGCGACCGGCGCACGGGUGAGUAACGCGUAUGCAACCUGCCCGAUACCGGGGUAUAGCCCAUGGAAACGUGGAUUAACACCCCAUAGUACUUUUAUCCUGCCUGGGAUGUGAGUUAAAUGUUCAAGGUAUCGGAUGGGCAUGCGUCCUAUUAGUUAGUUGGCGGGGUAACAGCCCACCAAGACGAUGAUAGGUAGGGGUUCUGAGAGGAGGGUCCCCCACAUUGGAACUGAGACACGGUCCAA
rnacentral:rRNA from 1 species